ACAAAACUAGCGGUUGCAACUUCCCAGAACUUUGGAAUCAUCGGGAGUGGCAAACUUUUUGUACUUAACAACCAGCACGGAGCUUUGUCCGAGUGUGAAGGC
rnacentral:ribozyme from 1 species